rnacentral:tRNA from 1 species
CGGGAUGUGGCGCAGCUUGGUAGCGUACAAGUAUGGGGUACUUGGGGUCGCAGGUUCAAAUCCUGUCAUCCCGACCA